GGGCCGGUAGUUAAAUCUGGUAUAAUGCGCCCUUGGCUAGGGUGAGGCUCCGGGUUCAAAUCCCGGCCGGUCCA
rnacentral:tRNA from 1 species